CUUGUCGGGGGCCUCCGCAGUGAUGAGCCACAACGUCUCCAUCUCGCACCCCGGCACGGCCGCCCUGGGCUCGCGCCUAGUGUCAGACAUUAGUCAGGCUGUCCAAGUGCCCGGCCUGAGUGAGCUGUGUGUCGUUACGGCCAGCAGUGAGCAGCACCCCUUGACCCCACGUCUGCCAGCCGACGCUGUUGUAUCGUACAUGGUGGAGGCCCCUUCUCUUCAGAUGGGUGGACCAGAACCGUCCGCUGGUUCCUCCACUCUCGUUUCCCCCGUGCAGUUUGUCAUCCCGGAGGAGGUGGCUAUGGACUCGUCGCUCGCUGUUUCAAUUCAGACGGAUCCGCCACAGUGUCCGGGCGUCACUGUUGAAAACGCUGUGCAGCUGGGGGCCUGCGGGGCUCCUUCAGACGGAGGGACCAAAGACAAAUCAACUCUGAGCAGAGCCGCCACACCAGAGACUGCCUCCCCCGCCGUAAAUCGAAAGUUCCUCCCACACACUAAGUCUCCCCUCCUCGGACAGACACCUUCUGUUUUGUCGCAGGUGCCCGAGAUGCAGAACUCUGCUGAACACGUUCUUGCCAACGCCCACAGCCUCCGGGCGGGCUCGGUGUCUGAAGAGUGCCUUCCCAAGACCGUGUCGCUCACAGACCCGGUGCCAGAGACUGUUGCGGUUGGCUGCCAGAGCCAUCAGGCUCAGCGUCCCGUCAACAGGUCACCCGCCGCCGCACCUUCCACCGAGGCCUUGUGCCGACCUACAACUGAAAACGCCUGCCACGGAACCCUUCAUAGCAACUCGGACAAUGAGGCCUUAACUGCGGCAGAACCCUCGACAGGGAGGCAACUACCUGGACUCCUAAAUGUUGCCUCCUCUAAAAGCACCGCCGCUCCGAGCGCCCCCCAGUCCCACGGUGCGUCACCGGCUACGUUGGAAGCAAAGGCCCCCUCUCUCACUGCCCAGGAGCGUCCUGACACCCAGUCCUACUUCCUCUGUGAGGGUGAGGAGAUGGAGCAGGAAGGCUCCCCUGAAGAAGCCCCGUCCCAGGAACCCGCCUCGGGGGAGGCCAGCAGUGAAGAGGAGGGCAGCGAGGAGGAGGAGGAAGAGUCGGAGUGCGACAAGACAGAUUACGGGAUAACCACUCCGAGCCCGGCCAACCAGCAUGGUCAGAGCAGGACAGACAGACAGGC
ensembl:lncRNA